CCGGGGCGGACGCACGGCGACAGGGCCCCGCGCUCACUGCGCGCUGGGCCGCGAGAGGGCCGCGCUCGGGCAGCGGCGGCGGCGGCGGCGGCGGCCUGGGGACAUGGCUGGAGGGCGGCGCUAGGCGCAGCUUCCUGGUCUGGGAGCAUAUCACUCAAGACUGCCUGCUUUGCUCCCAAGAGGCCUUCGCCCUGCUCUGUCUGGCCCACGGUCCCUGUCUCAUCACCAGGAGCCCCUCCCGCCAGCCGCUUCCCGAGCCUGGCAUCCAGCAGACACCGAAUGC